rnacentral:lncRNA from 1 species
GGUAAAGACAUUGUGCCAGAGGACCAAGAAUAGGAGUAUUUCGAACUCCCGAUAUCGUGAGUAACCUUAUUAUCGUCUUAAUUAUCUAAAGUAGUUUUUAUUCGUUUUUGUGAUUUUAUAGAAAAUUGAGUUUAAAUGGUAAAUCCUUAUGUAUUAUAAGUAAAACGUGAUUAAAUGAAAUGAGUUUUAUAAAUCAUUUUGAAAUUGAAUGAUGAUUUUAGAAAUUGAGUAAUUGGAGACUGUUUCUUUGUGUUGAAAAUUUAUGGUUUGAAUUGAAUAGCUGAAUUGGAAAUUGUGUUGAAAUUGUAUGAACUGUUUGUUUUGCCUUAACAGGCUAGGUAGUAAUAUAAUUGCCAUGUCAUGCUGUAGAAACUUUUAUUGAUUUGAAGGGAUAUUGAUUAGUCACUGCAAUGGUGGGUUUCCGUGGACUAGCCUAUUAGAGAAGGGCACAGUAAACUUGGUUAUAUUUUACCUCGGUACGAGAGGCACGGAGGGUAUCUCCUGAGGUAAAGCUUUAGAGUUCACUACACGCUAAACCACCACGUAAGGGUGAACUCAGCCAAUGCCAAGGAGCCACUAUGUUUUAAAAUGUACAAAUAUGAUUUAUGGAUAUAUGUCUUUUCUUUAAUAGCCUUGGCGAACUCGGCUGGAUGCCUCUGAUCCAGGUAUCUCCGAGAAUGAGUUUUGGCACGAGCCAAGUUUUUUUAAGAAAUUCAUAAGCCAUGUUGAUUAUUUGAGUGAAAUGAAUUUAUUUUAUUUAGUUGAAGUGAGUUUGAAACGUUAUGAAUCAUAG